rfam:Clostridium saccharolyticum WM1, complete genome.
CAUGGUACUUCUACUUUGAACGCCUCACCGCAUUGAGUAGCCCGGCAGACGGCCGGGAAAACGCAUCACCCUCGUUUGAGAUAGAAUGAGGGGCGGCUUUU